rnacentral:rRNA from 1 species
AGCGAACGCUGGCGGCAGGCUUAACACAUGCAAGUCGAGCGGGCAUCCUUGUGGUGUCCGCGGCAGACGGGUGAGUAACGCGUGGGAACGUGCCCUUCGGUUCGGAAUAACUCAGGGAAACUUGAGCUAAUACCGGAUACGUGCGAGAGCAGAAAGGUUUAUCUGCCGAAGGAUCGGCCCGCGUCUGAUUAGCUAGUUGGUGAGGUUAUGGCUCACCAAGGCGACGAUCAGUAGCUGGGCUGAGAGGAUGAUCAGCCACACUGGGACUGAGACACGGCCCAGACUCCUACGGGAGGCAGCAGUGGGGAAUAUUGGACAAUGGGGGCAACCCUGAUCCAGCCAUGCCGCGUGAGUGAUGACGGCCUUAGGGUUGUAAAGCUCUUUUCUCCGGGACGAUAAUGACGGUACCGGAGGAAUAAGCCCCGGCUAACUUCGUG